AUACACCGGUUCUCGUUCGAUCACCGAAGUUAAGCAUCGUAGAGCCAGGUCAGUACUUAGAUGGGGACCGCUUGGGAACACCUGGUACUGUAAGC
rnacentral:rRNA from 1 species